rnacentral:snRNA from 1 species
AGACGUGAGGAUGAUCUGACUGCAACACCUGUCACCCCGUUGGUCACCAGGCUUGAUUUGGCUGAUCUGCCUGGCUAGGAGGGUGUCCCCUUCCUCUGUCUCUGCUCCAUAUGUGACCCUCUGAAGCUAUGUCGAAUAGGAUGCCCUUCCCCGAUAGAGGAGGACUGUUCUCAGUCAAGGGUACACCAGUAGCUGGGCUUCCCUGCUAGAAUUUCCCACCAAGCUCUCAGCUMGUAACAGCUCUGUGUUUUCAAUUGCUCUGGAUGAUGGGUGAGCUGUGAGUUAUAAGUGAAUCCUUUGAGGAACAUCUU